rnacentral:rRNA from 1 species
CCUACGGGAGGCAGCAGUGAGGAAUAUUGGUCAAUGGGCGGAAGCCUGAACCAGCCAAGUAGCGUGCGGGAUGAAGGCCCUACGGGUCGUAAACCGCUUUUGCACGGGGAUAACACCCUCCACUUGUGGAGGUCUGCAGGUACCGUGCGAAUAAGGGCCGGCUAAUUCCGUGCCAGCAGCCGCGGUAAUACGGAAGGCCCGAGCGUUAUCCGGAUUCAUUGGGCUUAAAGGGAGCGUAGGCGGGCGUUCAAGUCAGCUGUAAAAUCGCGCGGCUCAACCGCGCCCCGCAGUUGAAACUGGACGCAUUGAGUUCACAACAGGCAGGCGGAAUUCGUGGUGGAGCGGUGAAAUGCAUAGAGAUCACGAGGAACCCCGAUUGCGAAGGCAGCCUGCCGGGGUGCGACUGACGCUGAGGCUCGAAGGUGCGGGUAUCAAACAGGAUUAGAUACCCUGGUAGUC